rnacentral:rRNA from 1 species
GGGUGAGUAAUGCGUCGGAACGUACCGAGUAAUGGGGGAUAACGCAGCGAAAGUUGUGCUAAUACCGCAUACGCCCUGAGGGGGAAAGUGGGGGAUCGUAAGACCUCACGUUAUUCGAGCGGCCGACGUCUGAUUAGCUAGUUGGUGGGGUAAAGGCCCACCAAGGCGACGAUCAGUAGCGGGUCUGAGAGGAUGAUCCGCCACACUGGGACUGAGACACGGCCCAGACUCCUACGGGAGGCAGCAGUGGGGAAUUUUGGACAAUGGGGGCAACCCUGAUCCAGCCAUUCCGCGUGAGUGAAGAAGGCCUUCGGGUUGUAAAGCUCUUUCAGCUGGAGAGAAACGGUGAGCUCUAACAUAGCUUGCUAAUGACGGUACCAGCAGAAGAAGCACCGGCUAACUACGUGCCAGCAGCCGCGGUAAUACGUAGGGUGCGAGCGUUAAUCGGAAUUACUGGGCGUAAAGCGUGCGCAGGCGGAUUGUUAAGCAAGACGUGAAAUCCCCGGGCUUAACCUGGGAAUGGCGUUUUGAACUGGCAGUCUAGAGUGCGUCAGAGGGGGGUGGAAUUCCACGUGUAGCAGUGAAAUGCGUAGAGAUGUGGAGGAACACCGAUGGCGAAGGCAGCCCCCUGGAAUUCCACGUGUAGCAGUGAAAUGCGUAGAGAUGUGGAGGAACACCGAUGGCGAAGGCAGCCCCCUGGGAUGACAUUGACGCUCAUGUACGAAAGCGUGGGUAGCAAACAGGAUUAGAUACCCUGGUAGUCCACGCCCUAAACGAUGUCAACUGGUUGUUGGGGGAGUGAAAUCCCUUAGUAACGAAGCUAACGCGUGAAGUUGACCGCCUGGGGAGUACGGUCGCAAGAUUAAAACUCAAAGGAAUUGACGGGGACCCGCACAAGCGGUGGAUGAUGUGGAUUAAUUCGAUGCAACGCGAAAAACCUUACCUACCCUUGACAUGUCCGGAAUCCUGCAGAGAUGCGGGAGUGCCCGAAAGGGAAUCGGAACACAGGUGCUGCAUGGCUGUCGUCAGCUCGUGUCGUGAGAUGUUGGGUUAAGUCCCGCAACGAGCGCAACCCUUAUCAUUAGUUGCUACGCAAGGGCACUCUAAUGAGACUGCCGGUGACAAACCGGAGGAAGGUGGGGAUGACGUCAAGUCCUCAUGGCCCUUAUGGGUAGGGCUUCACACGUCAUACAAUGGUCGGUACAGAGGGUUGCCAAGCCGCGAGGUGGAGCCAAUCCCAGAAAGCCGAUCGUAGUCCGGAUUGUUCUCUGCAACUCGAGAGCAUGAAGUCGGAAUCGCUAGUAAUCGCGGAUCAGCAUGUCGCGGUGAAUACGUUCCCGGGUCUUGUACACACCGCCCGUCACACCAUGGGAGUGGAAUCUGGCAGGAGUAGGUAGCCUAACCGCAAGGAGGGCGCUUACCACGCUGGGUUUCAUGACUGGGGUG